UCAACUACACACCCACUUUGUUAGACUAGAUCAUGGGGGUGAUAUAUUUAUACAUGUAUAUCAAGAGAAGCCAUAUGCAUAAGUACAUGGUUGUAGCGAGUAAAAAGUGAUGGAACCAGGAACAAGAAGACUUUGGAGCGUGAUUUCUUUGGUUUUGUCUUUUAAAAAAAUUAAAAUGACCUAACAAGUACAAUGAUAUGAUAUGAUACGAGCUCUUACCGGAUUUA